GUGGGGAAUAUUGGACAAUGGGCGCAAGCCUGAUCCAGCCAUGCCGCGUGAGUGAUGAAGGCCUUAGGGUUGUAAAGCUCUUUCGUCAGGGAAGAUAAUGACGGUACCUGAAGAAGAAGCCCCGGCUAACUUCGUGCCAGCAGCCGCGGUAAUACGAAGGGGGCUAGCGUUGCUCGGAAUCACUGGGCGUAAAGCGCGCGUAGGCGGCUUUCUAAGUCAGGGGUGAAAUCCUGGAGCUCAACUCCAGAACUGCCUUUGAUACUGGAGAGCUUGAGUUCGGGAGAGGUGAGUGGAACUGCGAGUGUAGAGGUGAAAUUCGUAGAUAUUCGCAAGAACACCAGUGGCGAAGGCGGCUCACUGGCCCGAUACUGACGCUGAGGUGCGAAAGCGUGGGGAGCAAACAGGAUUAGAAACCCGGGUAGUCC
rnacentral:rRNA from 1 species